ACUCCACACACGAAAUACAGUGCCGCCCGUUCCGGGUGAUCUGCAGAAACAGUUCAGAAGGAGAACGAAAGUCAUUCAGGUCUGGAACAACAUGACCAUUCAGUUUUAAGUCACUGGUCACUACACUUACUUCAACUCAGACCUGUUUGAAUCCUGUGUGUCCAGCCUAUUUCACUGAACAAUGCCGCCCAGUGUGUGUUCAGGGCCACUGGCCCCACGGUUACUGCUCUAGGAGCGGGACAGGAGCUGACACAAAGCAGCUGUCUGAGACCACUAGAGUGGCAGGAAGUCCUGCCAACAUCUGGUCCUUCGAUUGGAGACCCUCGAGAACCAGAGCAGGCAACAGCAGGCAGACUCUGAAGGAGGACGCUGUGCCCUGGAAGCUGGAAUGUGACACGGAGAAUGCAGGAGGCAGAAAUAUUCAC